UCAAUUUUCAGGAGGAUGGGAUGCUGGGCCAGAAGCCACUUGCUUGAAUUCUGACUCGGCCAAAGACUCAGUGUAUCCUUGGGAAAAUGGCAUCAGCGUGCUCCAUAUUUCUCCUUCUUAUUUGUAAAACAGGAGCCACAUAAUGGAUGGAUUCACCUUGGUGUUACUGGCAGACUAAGGACAGACUCGUGCUUCUGUGUACCUGGCUUUACUCAGGGCCACCAUGUAGGGCAGCCACAGCACGUGCCUGCUUCCCUAUUGCACUAAGCAAUGUUGGAGAAUACAGUCUGCCUUCUGCAAGGGCUGAAGCACUACUUGGCACCCCAGUGCUAUGUGGGAAAGCAGCUGCAUGGUUCCUCUCAGUUUCUGUUUUUCUUUUAAGGAAAGUCAGCCUCUUCUUAAAAGAUCACUUUCAUCUGCUGUAUCUGCUGAAACAGACGAUUUAGUCCUGCCCUCCAACUUGUAGCAACUCCUGGAAUUUCAGUCCUGCUGGAGCAAGAAGGAAGUCUUACCUGGAGAGCAAGCCCCAUCUGGGAUACAUUUUGCAAGUUUUGCAUACCAUUAUGGGGACCUAAAUAGAGUCCUCCUGCAGUAACACAGAAUUGGAAACUCCAGCGCAGGAAAAAACACAUUUAGAUUCACCCAGAUUUAUAUCCUUUGAUCAAAAGCUGCCCCUUGUGCUUAUGAGAAUCUCAUGUAAUUAUCUGCAAAGUUACUGCUUUAUCUGAUUUCAUAUUCCCCUGUAGAACAGCCUUUGCCAUGUUAUCUACAAGAAGUGGGGUUUCUUGGGUUGCUGAAAUCAUGGUUCAUACCACGUAGCUUCAGCAUGGUGAUGAACUAUGUCAACCAGGAACCUUGGCUGCCUUCUGUUGGAGAAAGCCCCUCAAAGAUCUUUGAUGUGACAACGGAACUGGGAAAUAUUACUGACUCACAGCCUUUAAGCAAUCAAGGAGUGAUCAAAGCAGUGACUCAAGAAUUCAAGGGAAAAAUUACAUGCUCAGGGAAAUGAGGAAACCUUAUUACUGACUGAUAUUCAAUAGAACAGGCGACUGAAAGUCUAAUUUUGUGAAAUAUGAUUUUAAUUGGUAUUCACCAACUUAUUGUGUAUUACUUAUGUUAAAAGGAGCUUUUAAUUAAAAAAUAAAAAAAUAAAAACCUUGGCUCAAAAUUCCAGUUACAAAAGUGUGGG